rnacentral:misc_RNA from 1 species
GCGAUGCUUUAUUCGACACCAGAAUGAUUAGAAAAGAACCGGAAAUAUGCUAUGCUAGCAAGGGGCGUAGCGAAGAAGAAGAGGAAUUCCCCGAGCUUCUGGCAAGACACCGGGAGGAAGAUCUAUUCUUUCAUAACCUGUGCAGUAGAGUGGCACCUCAUAUGCUCGAUCCAUAGAGAAAGAGGCAAGUCGUUAAGAGGUGGAAUCUUACUACGUAUCCAUCAAUCAGUCAUCCCAUUUAAUUCCUUUUUUACACCUCUUUAGUAGUGCUUUAGUUAUCCGGUCAUUCCAAUCUUUCGUAUGCGGAUCUUAUAUAUCUAUAUCAGAAGGAGAGGCUUUCCGUAUCAGAAAGAAGGGCGAUGGCCCGGCAAUGAGAUUCAUCACGCAGCUUUCACUAUAUAAGAUACCUAAGCUGGAGCUUGAAAAUAAACUAUAAAGUGGGAAGACGAGCUUUGAAAAUCCCCGCGGUAUACGAAGUGAAGGUUGAAAUUCUCCAGUUAUAAGAUAGCCGUUUCAAGAAAAGAAAAUAUUUAAUGAGGUGGAACCAGAUGUUUAUGAGUAGCCCCUUGAAAGCAAUGCAGGCGAAUAAUUCGGAAAUUACAUCAGCAAGGAGAGAAAAAACGCGCAUAAAAAAAAAGAUAAAAAAGAAAAUUCCUUCCUUUAUGACUAAGAUUGUAGGAGUCAAUUCCCAGGUCUUUUUCCUAGAAUCCAUAGCGGGUCGUUGUUUUCCUCAUUUUUAAGAGCCGGAAAAAGGUCUAAUUUUAACCUGAGGUUUCUUUCCCCAAGGAAGUGGAUUCCCCGAAAAAAUCCCCCUGCAGGCCGAGCCUUUGGGCGUUGCAUUUCACCCGCCUCAAAUAUUGCAAUCCACAAGCAAACCAUGCCGACUUAGGGUCCGCAUAUACCCCGGAAAAAUCGUAUCGACCUAUUCAUAUAUUAGAAAUAGCCGGCCUAUGCCUAUUUGUAGUCAACCCGUACUGAUAAGCAAUCCUUACUCCAACAAGUCUUUCGAUCCCGAUCCCAUUGGCAUUGACUGCAUGGGAUCGAAAGGAACGGUUGUUAGCUGUCCAAGCUUUGCUUCGUGGGUUUCCUGCCUUUGCUGGGGGAAAGAUUAAACUGGGCUUUCAAGCCAGAAAUGAAGUAAGAGCAAAGCAUGAAUUAAGCAAUGAAGUCAGCCAGCUUAUCGGCGUAUAUCGUAUAUAUAGUGAACUGGAGCCAUAUGUCAUAUUCAUACUACUCAACCAGAUAGAUGCUAAAACAGGAAAGUAUUAUAUUAUAGGUAUGCCUACUUACCUAAGCUCUUCUUACUAGCUUGCUCGGGAUCCGGCAGCGGAUUACACUUUAUAGUUUUGCAGUACAAGAAUAAUUUUGCCUCACUCUGAAACCACUAUAAGGGAGUGAGGUUCUCAUACCUUCCCCUUGUAAUUAUAACGUGUAAAAGAAUCAACAGCAUCUGUAAGACCUCCAGGCUUACUAGACGCUUUCCGGAAAAAAGGAAGAGUGAAUAGGCGAGUCAGGGUUUGGAUCUGACUAUGGACUCAGAUCGAACUCGAACUACCACUCUCUUAGAUCCCGAAUCGACUACCGAAGGAGUAAGUGCUAAGAGUGAUUCACGAGAGAUUCAGUUAACAGUUAGCCUUAUUUGACUAUCAUAGCCUAAUGAAACUAUUGAAGAUAUCCGUCUUAUCUUAGUCUGACAGCUAUCAGUCAAGGAAGUAAGUCUAAGCCCUCAG